rnacentral:rRNA from 1 species
AUACGUAGGUGGCGAGCGUUGUCCGGAAUUAUUGGGCGUAAAGAGCAUGUAGGCGGCUUAAUAAGUCGAGCGUGAAAAUGCGGGGCUCAACCCCGUAUGGCGCUGGAAACUGUUAGGCUUGAGUGCAGGAGAGGAAAGGGGAAUUCCCAGUGUAGCGGUGAAAUGCGUAGAUAUUGGGAGGAACACCAGUGGCGAAGGCGCCUUUCUGGACUGUGUCUGACGCUGAGAUGCGAAAGCCAGGGUAGCGAACGGGAUUAGAUACCCCGGUAGUCCUGGCCGUAAGCGAUGGGUACUAGGUGUAGGAGGUAUCGACCCCUUCUGUGCCGGAGUUAACGCAAUAAGUACCCCGCCUGGGGAGUACGGCCGCAAGAUUGAAACUCAAAUGAAUUGACGGGG